GCCAGAAUUCGUUUCAGGGGACAAGGGACCAUGGUUCUGCGAACUUCACAUGGGAUAAGGACACUCUGUGCGCACAAAAAGAAAAAGGUAGGAGUUUUCCUAAAAUUUGGUUGAGAGUUCUUCUCCCUGUGAGGUGGUGCGGACUACUGUUCUCUGUCCUCUUCGAAUCAAAGAACCUAGAAUAGAAAUAAGAGGAGACAGUGGGAAUGAAGACAGUCUGAGAAAACUGCAUGCAUGCAGUCAGCUGAUCAAAGUCUGCUAAAUUUGUGAGGAAGCCAAUUGAAAUUGAAUAUAUAUCAGCUGAUUUAAGAAAAACUGCAGUUGACUGUGUGAAAUUGCCUCACGCUGUUGCAUGUGUGAGAUGCCAUAUGUAGAGCUGUAGGCUGCUACAUAUGAGGGAUGCCAUAUGCAGAGCUAUAGGUUGCUGCAUGUGAGGAAUGCCACAUGAGGAGCUAUAGGCUGCUGCAUGUGAUGAAUGCCAUAUGAGGAGCUAUAGGCUGCUGCAUGUGAUGAAUGCCAUAUGUGGAGCUAUAGGCUGCUGCAUGUGAGGAAUGCCAUAUGUAGAGCUAUAGGCUGCUGCAUGUGAUGAAUGCCAUAUGUGGAGCUAUAGGCUGCUGCAUGUGAUGAAUGCCAUAUGAGGAGCUAUAGGCUGCUGCAUGUGAUGAAUGCCAUAUGUGGAGCUAUAGGCUGCUGCAUGUGAUGAAUGCCAUAUGAGGAGCUAUAGGCUGCUGCAUGUGAUGAAUGCC